GGGCUGGCUGCAGGAAGGGGAAGUUGGUCUGGGCUCCUGGCUGCCUGGGAGAUGGUGCAACCGUGGCAGACUCACAGAAGUCAGAGUGGAUCACAAAUUCUAAAUGCAUGUCGAGGGAGAUGCUGGCUCCUAUAAAUGUAGAGUGACAUGUCGAGUCACAGGUAGGUGAGCUCUAUAUAAAGACAAAGCAUUAUAUAGACAAGAGACUUGCCAUACUCUGUCAGAUCCGAGGUCCAUCCAGCCCAGGACCCAGUGUCUGUCAGUGCGAAGGAGUGGCCCAACUGAUGUCAGUCCAAUGCCGACGUCCCCGUGCCUGCACAGGGAGGAGCCCAGGGAGCCGUGGCAGGUCCAUGACAUGGUGUGUGGACAUCUGGAGGGAUGGACAUUGGGCAGCCUCCAUCCAGGGGCGUGACUUCCCCUUUCUCCUUGUAGCGUGUCCAGCCAUGGGCUUCUCCAAAGCAUUCAAAGGACCUGCCUGAGCUCCUCCAUUGGAGUAGAAAGGAAAAUUCUCCUGCCUGGUGGUACUUCUGGCUGUGGCGCAGCCUCCGCAACACAUGGAGGUCGUCCAUUUCCAUGCAAAUCUGCACCAGACCAGACCAGGACCUUCUAAACUAAUGGCAGGCAAUCACCGUGUUUUGAUUUUCAGGACACUUUUUAAACAGUAAAUGAUCACUCGUUAACACUUAAACACCUGGAGUGAGGCAGUAGUGUUAGGUUUACUGCUUUAUUAGUUAUUAUUUUUUUUUCCAUGC